UACGUGGGUGGCAAGCGUUGUCCGGAUUUACUGGGCGUAAAGGGCGUGCAGGCGGCUUGUUAAGUGCAGGGUGAAAGCUCCCGGCUCAACUGGGAGAGGUCCUUGCAUACUGGCGAGCUCGAGGGAGGCAGAGGAAAGUGGAAUUCCCGGUGUAGUGGUGAAAUGCGUAGAUAUCUGGAGGAACACCGGUGGCGAAGGCGGCAUCCUGGACCAACACUGACGCUGAGGAGCGAAAGCCAGGGGAGCAAAACGGG
rnacentral:rRNA from 1 species